rnacentral:rRNA from 1 species
GACGGAACGCUGGACGGCGUGCUUAACACAUGCAAGUCGAACGGAGUUAAGGAGCUUGCUUCUUAACUUAGUGGCGAACGGGUGAGUAACGCGUGAGGAACCUGCCUUUCAGUGGGGGACAACAGUUGGAAACGACUGCUAAUACCGCAUAAUGUUAUCGGACCGCAUGGUCUGAUAACCAAAGAUUUAUUGCUGAAAGAUGGCCUCGCGUCUGAUUAGAUAGUUGGUGGGGUAAUGGCCUACCAAGUCGACGAUCAGUAGCCGGACUGAGAGGUUGAACGGCCACAUUGGGACUGAGAUACGGCCCAG